UGAGCAACCUGCCCUUGACCCUGGAAUAACAGCUGGAAACAGCUGCUAAUACCGGAUACGACCUCCGAUGGCAUCAUCGGAGGUGGAAAGCUCCGGCGGUCAAGGAUGGGCUCGCGGCCUAUCAGCUAGUUGGUGUGGGUAACGGCCCACCAAGGCGACGACGGGUAGCCGGCCUGAGAGGGUGACCGGCCACACUGGGACUGAGACACGGCCCAGACCUCCGUACGGGAGGNAG
rnacentral:rRNA from 1 species